AUUGAACGCUGGCGGCAUGCUUUACACAUGCAAGUCGAACGGUAACAGGCCUUCGGGUGCUGACGAGUGGCGAACGGGUGAGUAAUGCAUCGGAACGUACCCAGAGGUGGGGGAUAACGCAGCGAAAGCUGGGCUAAUACCGCAUGUGAUCGAAGGAUGAAAGCGGGGGACCGAGAAGAAAAGUUUGGCCUCGCGCCUUUGGAGCGGCGGAUGUCGGAUUAGCUGGUUGGGGGGGUAAAGGCCUACCAAGGCGACGAUCCGUAGCUGGUCUGAGAGGACGACCAGCCACACUGGGACUGAGACACGGCCCAGACUCCUACGGGAAGCAGCAGUGGGGAAUUUUGGACAAUGGGCGCAAGCCUGAUCCAACAAUGCCGCGUGCGGGAAGAAGGCCUUCGGGUUGUAAACCGCUUUUGGCAGGAACGAAACGGUGUCCGCUAAUACCGGGCGCUAAUGACGGUACCUGCAGAAUAAGCACCGGCUAACUACGUG
rnacentral:rRNA from 1 species